rnacentral:rRNA from 1 species
UACAGAGGGUGCGAGCGUUGUCCGGAAUCACUGGGCGUAAAGGGCGCGUAGGUGGCGCGACAAGUCAGUGGUGAAAGUUCGACGCUCAACGUCGAAUCGGCCACUGAUACUGUUGGGCUUGAGCACUGUAGAGGCUAAUGGAAUUCCGGGUGUAGCGGUGGAGUGCGUAGAGAUCCGGAAGAACACCGGUGGCGAAGGCGGUUAGCUGGGCAGUUGCUGACACUGAGGCGCGACAGCGUGGGGAGCAAACAGG